UAGGGAAUCUUCGGCAAUGGGGGCAACCCUGACCGAGCAACGCCGCGUGAGUGAAGAAGGUUUUCGGAUCGUAAAGCUCUGUUGUAAGUCAAGAACGGGUGUGAGAGUGGAAAGUUCACACUGUGACGGUAGCUUACCAGAAAGGGACGGCUAACUACGUGCCAGCAGCCGCGGUAAUACGUAGGUCCCGAGCGUUGUCCGGAUUUAUUGGGCGUAAAGC
rnacentral:rRNA from 1 species